AUUGAACGCUGGCGGCAGGCUUAACACAUGCAAGUCGAGCGGGGGAAGGUAGCUUGCUACCGGACCUAGCGGCGGACGGGUGAGUAAUGCUUAGGAAUCUGCCUAUUAGUGGGGGACAACAUCUCGAAAGGGAUGCUAAUACAGCAUACGUCCUACGGGAGAAAGCAGGGGAUCUUCGGACCUUGCGCUAAUAGAUGAGCCUAAGUCGGAUUAGCUAGUUGGUGGGGUAAAGGCCUACCAAGGCGACGAUCUGUAGCGGGUCUGAGAGGAUGAUCCGCCACACUGGGACUGAGACACGGCCCAGACUCCUACGGGAGGCAGCGGUGGGGAAUAUUGGACAAUGGGGGGAACCCUGAUCCAGCCAUGCCGCGUGUGUGAAGAAGGCCUUAUGGUUGUAAAGCACUUUAAGCGAGGAGGAGGCUACUCUAGUUAAUACCUAGGGAUAGUGGACGUUACUCGCAGAAUAAGCACCGGCUAACUCUGUGCCAGCAGCCGCCGUAA
rnacentral:rRNA from 1 species